UUUUAGAAGCCUACAGAUGGAAAGAGCGGCUUUCUAAAUAUACUGGAAACAAACUAGAGCUGAGUUGGUGACGGCGUUUGCUGAGGAGCGUUUGGAGCCUGCAGAGAGGGACCUGAACCCGGCAAAGCCUCUGUGGGGUCAGAUCCUCUCCCAAGAGCCGGGCGCUGUUCUCGUUGCAGUUAACCACAAGGUAGGGUUUCAAGUGACCGACCUGCUGGUCCUUGUGCUUAGCUUGGGGAUUUCAUGCAUGAGUUUGGCUAAAUCACCACAGCCCCCCUACUCUGCAGCCCUGAGUGUGAUUCCCUGGUGCUCUGUGAGCACCCAGCUACCGGCUAACCACCAGGCUGGCCUCAACUGGCUCUUCUUUGUGCUCCUGCAGCACAGAGAAUGAAUCUCGUGCAGGAAGUUCUCUGGAAACCAAGGCAGUUUUGUUUUGACACCGCUCUGGGAGUACAAGACAAGAAGCGGGCAGCAGGAGCUGGGCGCAAUGGGACUUUCCUUUCCCUGGGCCUUGUGGCAUGGAGGGGUGAGCGCUGAGGAGCCUGGUGGGGUCCCCACAUCCCCAGCCACCUUCCUCGGCCCUUCCUCGCCUCAGGCCCGAAUGGAGGCAGGGGCAGGGCUGGAAGAGGAGGACGAGAUACGAGGUGUGGGGGGGGGGGCAGCCCCACCUCGGGCUGCGUGACGCGGGUUGCCAUGGCCACCCCGUUUACGCUACAAGGCCCGGCGGGGGCGGGCAGGCGGGCGGGGCCGCUUCAGCACCAGGGCGGCCGCGGACAGCAGCGGCCCCGGCUCGGCGGCGCCUCUCCCGCUGCGGGCUGCGCGGCUGCGGCGCCGGGGCCCUGCUCCGAGCCGGCUCCGGAGGUGGGGGGGGAGCCCUCACGGUCAGUCCCGGUCCCGGUUCUCAGCCCCGACACCGCCCGGCAGCACGGCCCCGGAGAACCAGGGGUACCGGGAGGUACCGGGGGGUACCCGGGGGGGCUCCUCCGGGCGGUGGCGGCGCCGGGAAAGUUUGGGAAGCUCGGAGCUCGGAGCCCGGAGUGGGGCCUCGGUGAGGACACGGCGAGUUUGGUCGGCUUUUGCUUUCCCUGGGAGGUUCACGUUUUUAUCAGUGACAAGAUGACAAUUCGUAUUUUUACCAAAGGAUCCAGUGACUCAUCCUAUUAAACUGCUGGGAUACGUGCUUGCCAAUUGUCCUGCCACGUUAGCCAACUG
rnacentral:lncRNA from 1 species